AAACACACCUCCAAAGAUAAAUUGAGUUAUUUGUCCUUAAAGGGGAUCCAAACAGACCCGUGGUUCCUUGGUGGGAUGGCGAGGGCGCAGGAGCUGCAGGCGUGAGGAGAAACCCCGCAGACGAAGGAUCCUGGGUCAUCUACCUCCAAGCCGGUCCGGCCCGACAAAUAUAGCCUGGGUGCUUUCCCUCUGGUGCUCUGCCGCACCGGGAGAAAUAAAUCUGUCCAGGAACCGCCAAGUGCAGAAGGGAGAGGCACGGGGGAAACAAAGGGGGAGUGGGCUCAACGGGAGAGAGCUGAGGUGAAAGGAAAAACAAAGGCAGGGGUUUGGUUCUGCUGCGCUCAUGGCGUGCAGAUGGAGGUAACGCCGCGUCCAAAUGGUUGGGGAGCGCGUCCCAAAAUUGUUGUGGUAACCUCAUCCCACAGCAACCAUGUAUGGACCGAAGGGAGCAGGCGUGAUGGAAGAGCAGCUGCCAUAAAUAGCCAGGAAGUAUCGGACCUCCAGCGCAGGAGGGAUCCAAUCAGCUGUUCCGGACAACACGUUUCUCCUUCCAGGCGUCUGCUGGUUCGCAGAAAGCAGGAGGACAACAGCGACUGUGGCGUUAGUGUGGAGACAGGUGGAAAGGCCUCAGUACUGAAAACCGAUUUGGAUAUGAAGCAGCUGGGAUGGAGGGACAGCUGGAAGCGAAUGGCGAACAGUCAGACUGAGGCGACUGCCAAUGUGUGUCAGUCUUUUCCCAAAUCAGAAAAAGGCAGACCAGAAAACAAAGUGGGGAUUAUUUAUGCACGUUUCAACAACCCAAAUAUUGGUGGCAAAGAUCAACUAAGUCUUCAAUAUAACUGCUCUGUCACACUUCAGCAAAAAUAAACCCUAGAGCGAAACAA